rnacentral:rRNA from 1 species
CCUACGGGAUGCAGCAGUGGGGAAUAUUGCACAAUGGGCGCAAGCCUGAUGCAGCCAUGCCGCGUGUAUGAAGAAGGCCUUCGGGUUGUAAAGUACUUUCAGCGAGGAGGAAGGCAUUAAGGUUAAUAACCUUAGUGAUUGACGUUACUCGCAGAAGAAGCACCGGCUAACUCCGUGCCAGCAGCCGCGGCAAUACGGGGGGUGCAAGCGUUAAUCGGAAUUACUGGGCGUAAAGCGCACGCAGGCGGUCUGUCAAGUCGGAUGCGAAAUCCCCGGGCUCAACCUGGGAACUGCAUUCGAAACUGGCAGGCUAGAGUCUUGUAGAGGAGGGUAGAAUUCCAGGUGUAGCGGUGAAAUGCGUAGAGAUCUGGAGGAAUACCGGUGGCGAAGGCGGCCCCCUGGACAAAGACUGACGCUCAGGUGCGAAAGCGUGGGGAGCAAACAGGAUUAGAUACCCUUGUAGUC